AGAGAGAGAGAGAGAGAGAGAGAGAGGCGGAGAGAGAGAAAGAUAGACACCGAGAGUAUACAAAGACGAUCACGAGCAACGAACAAGGAGGAAAAGAGGUGAAGGAAAAAAUCGCGAGGAAACAGCGGGGGAAGUAGAAAAGAAGGAGAGAAAAGAGAGAGGAAAGGCAUAGAAUAAAUAUCGGACGAGGAAGUCGUGCGUGAAUUGCGAUCAAUCGAGAUUGUAUGGUUCAAUCGGCGAAAUCGAAACGACACCGGCGUGACACCGCCACUAGCGGUCUAUGCAGAACGAGACUGAUCGAAUACAAGCGAAACUCUUGAAAGGACCAUCAGGCUAUUACACGGAAAAAAAACAACUUUCUUCAGAUUCAAGCAUUAAAUAACUGGAGGAAUAUGUGAUCGAAGAGUUGCACGAUAAAACUGAACGAAGCGUUUCUUGAGAACGAGAAAUACGAUGUGAUAAGCGAACUGAAAUAGUUGCUUUGGAGAACAUUGUAUUCUUAUUGUUAACUUAGUGACUCCGGGAAACAGGACUGGCGUUUUUGCAUAUUUGGAUUUUCAUUUUAUUUCAGUGAGAUGAACCAACAGUGCAGGGUAUGCGACGAGCCCGCAGCGGGUUUUCAUUUCGGGGCCUUCACGUGCGAGGGUUGCAAGUCAUUCUUCGGUCGCACGUAUAAUAACCCCACUAGCGUCUCGGUAUGUAAGAACGGCGGCAACUGCGUAAUUAACAAGAGGAAUCGGACGGCUUGCAAAGCCUGCCGAUUAAGGAAAUGCCUAAACGUCGGCAUGUCCAAAUCGAGCUCGCGUUACGGGCGGCGUUCCAAUUGGUUCAAAAUCACUUACUUUUCCGAGCAGAUGAGGCUAAAUAAUCGAACCACGAACGAGAUUCCAUGUCGGCCUUCCGGCAUCGCCACACCCUUCCGUUUAAAUUAUCCACCGCAAAGUGAUGGCAGUAAUGAGACGGACGGCCCGUCGACCAGUCAAGAAAAUCUGGCGGCAUCUCAAUAUUCAUACAACGCACCAACGUUGCACAGACCAGACGGAUCGCCUCGUCCCGACGACAUGGCUUUGUACCAUCAAUAUUACCUGCACCGUUUGUACUUGGGAGAACACCAGCCACAACUACCGUCCGUCAUAUCUCCAUCCACGUCGAGGGAAGUCUCAUCGUCGCCACGUGAUAAUCCUUCGCCGCGACAACGAAGUCCGUCCGCAGAAAGUUCCACGAUGUUCACUCAGGGGACAUCGUUUUACCCGUCGGAUCCUUACCGAUCGCCCAUCGCGGCGGAAUCAUCACUCUCGAGAAAUUACGUAAGACACGUCGACGGAUCCGACAGCGACGAGGACGAUCGUCUUCGUGACGUACAGUCCAGGAGCAGCUCGAGUCGAUCGCCGGUCACGCCCUCGAGAACAAACGAGCAAGAGUCGUCCAAACCUAAAGUAUCGAUCAACGGUAUGCUCAUGUUCGCGGGCCAACAUUCUCUAUUAUUCCCGGGAGGGAUGUUCUCGACGGGGGCGCACUCGUUACCACCUACAUGGAGGUAUAAUAAUCUAUUUUUGGUUAACCCUAGUACCAGUAAUUCCGGCGACGACGAACCAAUUGACCUCAGUAUGCGAGCGAGCGGCAAUUCGUCGCAAUCCAGAGAAUCACCGGAAAAAGAAGAGAAGGAGAAAGAGCAGAACGAGAAGAACGAUGGAUCGUCUACGGAAGAGACCACGACGUAUCCGCUCGAUCUAACGCGUUCCGCUGGUACGUCCUUAACGGCGAAUUGUUUUUGAAGUUCAUGAAUUGAAUUCCAAAUUAGAUUGAUUUUCUUCGCCGAUUCGAAGUCGUCUUGGUCCGAAGAGACACGUCUAAAGGUCCGUGCGAUUUUUAGAAAGGUAAUUUCGAGAGAGGUUCGAGAGGACAGAUAAUAUUCAUAAUACCUUGUUCCACUGAUGAAACAAAUAGAAAUGAAUAACGUAGCGAAUAUCUGAUGUAUAUAGAACAAUUUUCGCACUGGAAAGACAGCGAUGUGAUGUUGAUUGCAGGGAGAUGCGAGUCGUUUUGACCGCCGAUUAAGAGAUCGAAGGGACUUCGCGAUCAAUCUUGAGUGGAUGACAGCAAAGAAAAAUUCUGAAUGAUCUGCCAGAUAAAAAAAUUACCCUGCCAAGUUUGGGAUACCCCGCCGUAUC
rnacentral:misc_RNA from 1 species